GGAGGUCCAGCCCUGCCAGCACAGGCAUCUGAGACUCUUCCAGCCUUUGAGCUCCACAGCCUGGCAGAGAACUGAUGGUAUCUAGACUUGGAGACUCCCAUCACCCUCGCCAGGCCUAGGGUAAUGCUCCAGGUAGUGGCUGUUUUACAGGCACCUGCAGUUCCUGGGGAAAGAGUUCUGCUACUGUAUCAUGGAAUCUGGCCUGGUAGAAACUAAUAUCGAAUCACUCCACAUGUUUGUCUGAAGAACUUUGUCAAUACAACCAGAGCACAUCUCCAUUCCAUUCUUUCUGGCAGUCUCCACUCUUCCCAUGGCUAGCCCUGUUCAUAGGGCCAGUGUUCAGCUUGACCUGGCUUACUGCAUCGGCAGAGAAACCUAUUAUUGCACUACAGAAAACCUAUUAGAGACUCCGUUAAAAUUUGAUCCCUCCCCUCCAUUUUUCACUUCCAGGUCACGUCAGGAAAUACCAUGCUAGGAGUGGAGAAGUCCUUCCCUAGAAGUUUUUGCCCCUGAGUAAAAUAAUUUGUAUCUCCUGAGAAGGUCAACUCUCACAGAUCCCACAACUAAAUCUAUGUGUUAGAAUAGCAACAAAGGCCCAUUAAGGGCAAACCCUUUUUUGUCAAGAGAAGAGAAUCUCUGGCCUGGGUGGAUAACAUUCUGGCUGGACAGCCAAGCACCUGGCCAAUUGACCGACCAUCCCUAAGAAGACAGGUUCACCUUAAGCCAUGCUACAGGGAUAAAUGGGAUGUCCUUUUAAUGAUAGUGACCAUUUCUUCCCAGAAUUCCUGCUCCUUAUGGCUGUAGCUCACA